CUUUGUCAAAAAACAGUUUGUUUCUGCAGUCUUUCUGUUGUGCAUCUCCAAUGAACCUCCUCAAAUCGCCACUUCCUGUUCCUGCUGCUGCAUUCAUCGAAAUAAUUUACGAUUGCAAAUUGACGGAAUCCGGAGAAUGGUUUCAUGGCAUCAUAUUCCUCUUGGAACAUUACGGCAGCAGAUAAACAUUUCCACAUAUUAACUAUGAGGGGUUUCAACAAAUUGGCCAUUCAAGCACGCGAAUAUCUUGCUGUGAACACAAAUUCACUAAGCCAAUGGAAAGUCUUGAAAUUUUUCCACCCGGAAAACUUUUUGACCGGAUCAGGGUUCGAACCCAAUCACCUCUAAUAAGAUCACUCUGAUUCAACAUUUGGAUGCCACAACAGUUAGUUCGCAGCCACAUUCCUUCAUCUUCGGCUGCGCAGCAUGCACGCCAAGUUUGUUUGCAUAUUGUCUAUCCACUUAGCUCGCUGCGUCUUUCGUUAUCUCGCACCACCCAGAUCUGAUGCGAAUACCUAUAUGCAGGAUUGGUUCGUACAUGAUUCUUUCAGCAUGCCCUGCGAACUCGUCGUUCAUCUUUCAUUGGCACACACCGUUCCCGAAUACUAGGAUCUGUAGGUCUUCCUUGGGAAUAAUCUAUUAGAUUCAUAUCUGUAG